rnacentral:lncRNA from 1 species
ACUUUAUGUGAAUGAAGACUAGUCUUGGGGUACCACAGUGAAUAAGUUGUUUCUGCAAAAGAAGAACAAGUAAUUCAACAGCAAGCACACUCCUAAACUUGUAGCAAUAUUCCAACUCAUAACUAGGACAGACACAUACAUCUAGAGUGCUGGAGACACAUGGAUUCACACUGGUUGAAUCUGUUGUAACGCGACUUUAACAAGAAGAUAUAGUUGAGAACUGAAAAAAAAAUAGUCUGUGCAUGACAUAGUAACAAAACAAAAAGAACCCAUAUCCAAAAAAACUACAUACAGUAACCAUUUGAUAAACCUCUUUGAUGAAGAAAACAAAUUGAAAUCAUUUUUCUUGCUAAAGUCUUGAAAACUAUACUCUUAGGCAUAACGCUUAAACUCAUCCAUGUAAAACACCUGUACAUCUUACCUGCAAGCACGAAGAAGCACAAAUGCAAAAGCUUACCUCCAUACACGAAGAAAACACAUGUUCAGCUUACUUGCAUGCAUGAAGAAUGAUUGAUAAUUUCUGACAUACAUACAAGAAGAUUUCAUCAUACUUUCAUGCAAAAGUAAAUUUUUGCUCUUACACACACACGUUAAAACCUAACUUGCACACAUGUUCAUAGUUGUUCGUGUUCCAGGUUCCUGAUUGUGGCAGUGGAUCCUGAUUUGAAGAACACAAGUCUUCAAUCAUGUAACAGAGGACUGAAGAGUGAUGUGCUGAUCAGAGAGCAAGGAAGAGGUUCUACAAGCAACAUGUAUGGACAUAGAAGGACUUUUGGAACUUUGAAAUCUUGGAACUUUUGAUUGUGGAGAUAUGAACUCUGACCCAAGUCAACGAAGGCUCACUAUCACUGAUAGUAAUGGCUGACCACCUCUGGAGGACUCUGAGAACUCAAGAUGUUUUCCUAAUGCUGGUAUUCCAAGGAGAAGGCUGCUCCCUUUGAAGGAGGAUGAUGAGCCCACCUGAGAUGAAUGUGCUUGAGACCAAAGUGUGUCCAGGAAAGACCAAAGACCCAGGAUAUCAGCACUUCGAGGAUGUGGUUUGGUUCAUUCAAGACGUUUUUCACAGACACACACUCCAGCCAGGUGGCCAAAAGAGAAAGAGCGAAUGAUGAGCUGGAGUUCUCUGAACUACAGACACGUCUAUGAGGCAGCUCUGUCCUAUGCUUUGACCUCCAGAGUUUGCAGUUCUAGAGAGUGUGCAGAGAAGACUUCCUCUGGGUGAGAUCAUUCUCCCUCUUCU